rnacentral:lncRNA from 1 species
GAAAGGUAGACAUCCAACUCCUACAACUCGCGAGUGACAGGGAAUCACUCGGCUUUUACCGUCUCCUCGUUAAGCAAGCGGCUACUCGGUCCAACAGCUAGUGCUCAGAUCAUGGGGAUAACUAAGUCAUGCAUCUAGGGUUUCAAACAACUCCUAUACGUAAAUGCACAAGCAUGUUACAGAAGGCAUGCGCAAGUUUGGUAAAACACACAGGGUUUUCAUGCAACCGGGGCUUGCCUU